rnacentral:rRNA from 1 species
GCGUACUUUUUGUAGAACGGGCCAACGAGUUACGUUAAGUAGCAAGGUUAAGCACUUAAGGUGCGGAGCCGUAGCGAAAGCGAGUUUUAACUGAGCGUUCAGUUACUUGACGUAGACCCGAAACCGGGCGACCUACCCAUGAGCAGGAUGAAGCGAAAGUAAAAUUUCGUGGAGGUCCGAACCCACGAGCGUUGAAAAGCUCGGGGAUGACUUGUGGGUAGCGGUGAAAUUCCAAUCGAGCCCGGAGAUAGCUGGUUCUCCCCGAAAUAGCUUUAGGGCUAGCCUCAAGGUGAGAGAUACGGAGGUAGAGCACUGAAUGUCCUAGGGGGUAUUGCACCUACCGAAGACUAUCAAACUCCGAAUGCCGUCAUCUUAUACUUGGGAGUCAGACUGUGGGUGAUAAGAUUCAUAGUCGAAAGGGCAACAGCCCAGAUCGUCAGCUAAGGUCCCUAAAUGUAAGUUAAGUGGUAAAGGAUGUGGGAUUGCACAGACAACCAGGAUGUUGGCUUAGAAGCAGCCACUCAUUCAAAGAGUGCGUAAUAGCUCACUGGUCGAGUGAUCCUGCGCCGAAGAUUUCCGGGGCUAAAACUUACUACCGAAGCUACGGCAUCAGUAAUGAUGGGUAGGGGAGCUUCCCAUACGGGUUGAAGCAUGACCGUAAGGACAUGUGGACAGUAUGGGAGUGAGAAUGUUGGCAUGAGUAGCGAGAUGUGGGUGAGAAUCCCACAGGCCGUAAACCCAAGGUUUCCAGGGGAAGGUUCGUCCGCCCUGGGUUAGUCGGGACCUAAGCUGAGGCCGAAAGGCGUAGGUGAUGGACAACAGGUUGAUAUUCCUGUACUACCGAUAACCGUUUGAGAGAAGGGAUGACACAGUAGGAUAAGCUAAGCACACUGUUGGUUAUGUGUGCCCAAGCAUUGAGGCAGUCAAAGUAGGCAAAUCCGCUUUGAUAAUGCUGGGAUGUGAUGGGGAGCGAAAUUUAGUAGCGAAGUAGCUGAUUUCACACUGUCAAGAAAAGUCUCUAUCGAGGUUAAAGGUACCCGUACCGCAAACCGACACAGGUGGGUGAGGAGAGUAUCCUAAGGCCAGCGAGAGAACUGUUGUUAAGGAACUCGGCAAAAUGACCCCGUAACUUAGGGAUAAGGGGUGCCACCAUCAGGUGGCCGCAGAGAAUAGGCCCAAGCGACUGUUUACCAAAAACAUAGGUUUCUGCUAAGUCGCAAGACGAUGUAUAGGAGCUGACGCCUGCCCGGUGCUGGAAGGUUAAGGGGAUCUGUUAGAGCAAUCGAAGCAGUGAACUUAAGCCCCAGUAAACGGCGGCCGUAACUAUAACGGUCCUAAGGUAGCGAAAUUCCUUGUCGGGUAAGUUCCGACCCGCACGAAAGGCGUAACGAUUUGGGCACUGUCUCAACAACAGACUCGGUGAAAUUGUAAUUCCGGUGAAGAUGCCGGAUACCUGCGACAGGACGGAAAGACCCCAUGGAGCUUUACUGUAGCUUGACAUUGGGUCUUGGUACUACAUGUACAGGAUAGGUGGGAGGCUUUGAAACCAGGACGCCAGUUUUGGCGGAGCCAUCCUUGGGAUACCACCCUUGUAGUACUGGGACUCUAACCAUAGGCCAUGAAUCUGGUCUUGGGACACUGUCAGGUGGGCAGUUUGACUGGGGCGGUCGCCUCCCAAAAGGUAACGGAGGCGCUCAAAGGUUCUCUCAGUACGGUCGGAAAUCGUACGUAGAGUGUAAAGGCAAAAGAGAGCUUGAUUGCAAGACAUACAGGUCGAGCAAGGAUGAAAAUCGGACUUAGUGAUCCGGUGGUUCUGCGUGGAAGGGCCAUCGCUCAACGGAUAAAAGCUACCCUGGGGAUAACAGGCUUAUCUCCCCCAAGAGUCCACAUCGACGGGGAGGUUUGGCACCUCGAUGUCGGCUCAUCACAUCCUGGGGCUGUAGUAGGUCCCAAGGGUUGGGCUGUUCGCCCAUUAAAGUGGUACGCGAGCUGGGUUCAGAACGUCGUGAGACAGUUCGGUCCCUAUCCGUCGCAGGCGUAGGAAAUUUGAGAAGACCUGUCCUUAGUACGAGAGGACCGGGAUGGACGUACCUCUGGUGUACCAGUUGUCCUGCCAAGGGCAUGGCUGGGUAGCUAUGUACGGAAUGGAUAAGCGCUGAAAGCAUCUAAGCGCGAAGCCAACUUCAAGAUAAGAUUUCCCACCGCAAGGGUAAGACCCCAGAAAGACUAUCUGGUUGAUAGGUCGAAGGUGUAAGUGCAGCAAUGUAUUUAGCUUAUCGAUACUAAUAGGUCGAGGACUUGACCAA